rnacentral:rRNA from 1 species
UAGGGAAUCUUCCGCAAUGGACGCAAGUCUGACGGAGCAACGCCGCGUGAGUGAAGAAGGAUUUCAGUUCGUAAAACUCUGUUGUUAGAGAAGAACAGCGCAUAGAGUAACUGUUAUGCGUGUGACGGUAUCUAACCAGAAAGCCACGGCUAACUACGUGCCAGCAGCCGCGGUAAUACGUAGGUGGCAAGCGUUGUCCGGAUUUAUUGGGCGUAAAGCGAGCGCAGGCGGUCAAUUAAGUCUGAUGUGAAAGCCCCCGGCUCAACCGGGGAGGGUCAUUGGAAACUGGUUGACUUGAGUGCAGAAGAGGAGAGUGGAAUUCCAUGUGUAGCGGUGAAAUGCGUAGAUAUAUGGAGGAACACCAGUGGCGAAGGCGACUCUCUGGUCUGUAACUGACGCUGAGGCUCGAAAGCGUGGGUAGCAAACAGG